rnacentral:ribozyme from 14 species
ACGCUGCUAAAAAAAAUGCUAAAAGAAAGAAAACAGGAAAUGAUAAGAGAAAAGAAAAUGUCGUCCUAAAUUUACAACCUCAUUUUCUUUGCUGUUCUUGCCUGCCACUUAUAUACCAUUCGGCUCCUUCUCCUAUCCAU